UACGUAGGGUCCGAGCGUUGUCCGGAAUUAUUGGGCGUAAAGGGCUCGUAGGCGGUUCGUCACGUCGGGAGUGAAAACUCGGAGCUUAACUCCGAGCCUGCUUCCGAUACGGGCAGACUAGAGGUAGGCAGGGGAGAGCGGAACUCCUGGUGUAGCGGUGGAAUGCGCAGAUAUCAGGAAGAACACCGGUGGCGAAGGCGGCUCUCUGGGCCGUACCUGACGCUGAGGAGCGAAAGCAUGGGGAGCGAACAGG
rnacentral:rRNA from 1 species